UACAGAGACUGCAAGCGUUAUUCGGAUUCACUGGGCGUAAAGGGUGCGCAGGCGGCCAAGUGUGUUAGGCGUGAAAGCCUGAGGCUUAACCUCAGAAUUGCACCUAAAACUACGUGGCUAGAGCAUUGGAGAGGGUAGCGGAAUUCACGGUGUAGCAGUGAAAUGCGUAGAUAUCGUGAGGAACACCAGAGGCGAAGGCGGCUACCUGGACAAUUGCUGACGCUCAGGCACGAAAGCGUGGGGAGCAAAAGGG
rnacentral:rRNA from 1 species